rnacentral:rRNA from 1 species
UACGUAGGUGGCAAGCGUUGUCCGGAAUUAUUGGGCGUAAAGCGCGCGCAGGCGGCCUCUUAAGUCUGAUGUGAAAGCCCCCGGCUCGAACCGGGGAGGCCAUUGGAAACUGGGAGGCUUGAGUAUAGGAGAGAAGAGUGGAAUUCCACGUGUAGCGGUGAAAUGCGUAGAGAUGUGGAGGAACACCAGUGGCGAAGGCGACUCUUUGGCCUAUAACUGACGCUGAGGCGCGAAAGCGUGGGGAGCAAACAGG